AUUCAAUCGCAGAUAAGACUUCCUGGGUCUGUGAAUCGACUCGAGCAAUUUCUCUUCCAAGUAAGAACUUUCUCUUAUAGGUGGUGCUAAUGUCGACGACUUCGUUAAAUAGAAAAAGGAGUAUGAUAGGUGAAAUAUCGGAUUUGUGAUACAAAAAUCCAAUAUGUAAAUGUGAAAAAUAUGUUGCAAUUCAAGUAGUUGGCCCUACGAAAGACACCGAAAGUAAGUUGUUUUGCAAUUGUAAAAACAGACAAUGUGACUUUUUUUGUUGGUUAGAUCCCUUGAGUGCACAAGAAAAGGAUCGGUCCAAAUGUGUGGUUGGUAGCUUUGACAAAGAAGAUGAAGAAAUUUCGAAACCCGAAUCGAAUGCCAAUGAAGUACUAUUUACCUUGGUGAGGUCUGAAAUGGAGAUUAUUGCUAAAGCAAUAGAGUCAAACAAAAAACAUAUUGAAAGAAUUAUCAAUAGGAUUAAGUAUCUUUGGGUUAUCAGCGUUAUUGUUGUUGGAAUUGUGGCAAUGACUAAGUAGACGAUUAUGUUGUUUCUUUGCAUUAUUAUUGUUGCUGCAAUUAUGACUAAGUAGAUAUCAUUUUAAUUUGAUGAUUUAUUUAAGGACUAA